rnacentral:lncRNA from 1 species
AUCACAAUUAAUUCCUGCAGAGAUGAUUAUAGUUACACUGAGAGGAUUAUGAUUUCAGGAAAGUGAUAAACAGCAGGGACAGAAUAAGGUCCUUUUUUUUGUUGUUUCCCAAGGAUUAUUAGCUUGAAAGUUAAUAUCAUAUAUGGGCUGUGGCUUAUUGUCCUAUGAGAAAUAGAAGAACCAGCAAUAGAAGAGACCCAGAUCAAGUUUGACUGAAAGGCAAACACCAUUCCCAACUGGCUUUACCAUCUGUCUUUCCACAGAGACAACUCACAGGCUAUAAAGUGCUUAACAUUUCCCUGGCUUCAGAAGGCACUAGGGAAGGAGGUAAGUAUGGACCAAUUAGCAGGUGGGCACUUCAAGUGUACUUCUAGUUAUUUAUAUGAAUUGUGAAGGUCUUUAAUAUCCUCUUUGAACUUUUGACUCAGAAAACAAGAUUUGUCUACUUGUAUCUAGUUUAAACCAAU